CUCUUCCAUACUCUUAUUACUGUUAAAGAAGCAUCUCUCUGGGAGACUCUAGAAAGUGCACAGCAAAGAUACACUGAAGGCAGCAGUACCUUACUGUAUCCAGGCAACACAAGGUAAAGCUCUGUGCCUUAUCUAUUUAUCUAUAUUAGAAUUAGAAUUCAGCCAUGUGAUGGUUGUCAUGGAGGUAUAUAUUAACAUAUUUAUCUUAGCUGAAAAAUCAAGUGGGACUCAUACUGACAGAAGGAUGUCUGAUUUAAAGGGCCACUGUACUCACCAACCCACAGUCAACGUUUAAACUUCUGGGAUUAAAGUUCUUUCCUGAGUCUUCAGUUAGCUUCAAGUGCACAUAGGGACCAAACAGGGACUUCUUAUGAGACUGCAAAGGAAUAAGCAUUUGGCCUAUCUCAUGGAAGAAGGAACAGUUUCUAGUCUUAAAAACAGGAGGUUCGCCUACAUGAUCACCUGGGACAAAUUUGGCCAGUGCAAGCAGGCCAGAAGGUUAUAGGAGCCUGGGAAUGUUUAACAUCAAGCAAGGAAUUACAGCUCAGUAAGAUCAGAGGGAAUUACACAGGAAAUGUGAAUAGUAACCCUUUUCUAUCUCUGUGCCCCUUCCAGCUGCCUGUGAUAAAUGGAGGCCUGCUGCUGCCCAGUUAUGUGAAUACACAAGCCUAGAGAAGAGAGGAAUUGGGGAAAAGGAAAAAAAGACAGUUUCUACACACACACACACACACACACACACACACACACACACACACACACACACACACAGUACAGCAUAAAUUCAUAAUGACACGAUAAAAUCAUGCUGCUCCAGAAACAGCCUCUAGCCUUUCUAAUUGCCACAUAUGCACUGUAUUACUGCCUUUAUGCAACAGAGCCCUAAGUAAAAUUUCCAUAGCAACUUGAAGAAUCAGACGGCGGAGGAGGGAUGAAAUAGUUGGCAGACUCACUGUAAGUAGGGAAAUGUGCUCCUACAAAGCUGACCAAACAAAUAGGUCUCCACCCUGGCUUAUGCUUAAACAUCUUGUUCCUAGUCAGUCUGUAGGGAAAGCAUUCUUUCCACAAUAAAUAACAUGUAAUCAAAUCACAAAUUCUCACUACAUCCUUUAUCUACUCUAUGCAAAAGUUUCUUCAAUAUUCUAAGAUAGAAGCUUAGAGAAUUUAAAUGAUUGUAAACAUUUUUUUUAAAGAGUAACCUGGCUAUAAUGAAGGCAAGUUAAAAUAUUUCUAAUUGUUAAUUUGGAAAAUGCAGAUAUGACUGUGCAGAUCUGAGACACCUUCAGAGGCCCCUGGUUAGGAUCUCAAAAAAAUAAGACACUCUUAUCACAUCUGCCUCUGGGAAAAGGGGAAAUGCUCAGUUUCCACAAACAGGUGAGUUUGAGAGAUACUAACUUGAAAAAUAUACACAAACAGACAAGCUUGGGAAGAUGGCUGACCAGAGAUAUCAGCUGCAAUAUUGUCACAGAAAAAAGGAAAGUUUCAGAUGACAAAGAAAAAACAAUCUAGAUCAAGUGUAAUUCCAAGAGAAAAGAGCUAGAACCUACAAGAGAUUCCACGGGAAGAAAUUAUGGAGCAGAACAAGAAGGAGCAAGGUAUCAGUAGAGGUC